UGAGGAAUAUUGGUCAAUGGGCGAGAGCCUGAACCAGCCAAGUCGCGUGAAGGAUGAAGGUUCUAUGGAUUGUAAACUUCUUUUAUUCGAGGGUAAAGUGAGGUACGUGUACCUUAUUGCAAGUAUCGAAUGAAUAAGCAUCGGCUAACUCCGUGCCAGCAGCCGCGGUAAUACGGAGGAUGCGAGCGUUAUCCGGAUUUAUUGGGUUUAAAGGGUGCGUAGGCGGAUUAUUAAGUCAGCGGUGAAAGCGUGUGGCUCAACCAUACAAUUGCCGUUGAUACUGGUAGUCUUGAGUGUAAACGAGGUAGGCGGAAUGUGAUGUGUAGCGGUGAAAUGCUUAGAUAUGUCACAGAACCCCGAUUGCGAAGGCAGCUGGCCGGGCCUGCAUUGACGC
rnacentral:rRNA from 1 species